rnacentral:misc_RNA from 1 species
GAUGAAGAACGCAGCGAAAUGCGAUACGUAAUGUGAAUUGCAGAAUUCAGUGAAUCAUCGAAUCUUUGAACGCAUAUUGCGCUCUUUGGUAUUCCGAAGAGCAUGCUUGUUUGAGUAUCAGUAAACACCUCAACCUCUUCUUGAUUUUUCAAAAGGAGGGUGGACUUGAGCUAUCCCAACAACCUUUACCGGUCGGCGGGCGGCUUGAAAUGCAGGUGCAGCUGGACUUUUAUCUGAGCUAAAAGCAUAUCUAUUUAGUCCUCGUCAAACAGGAUUAUUACUUUUGCUGCAGCUAACAUAAAGGAUAAUUGUCCUCUUUGCUGACUGAUGCAGGAUUUUACGACACUUUAUGUGUUGUUCAACUCGAUCUCAAAUCAAGUAAGACUACCCGCUGAACUUAAGCAUAUCAAUAAGCGGAGGA